rnacentral:rRNA from 1 species
AAUGAACGUUGGCGGCGUGGAUUAGGCAUGCAAGUCGCGCGACAAGGAACCUUCGGGUUCUGGAGGAGCGGCAAACGGGGUAGUAAGGCAUCGGAACGUACCCUCUUGUUGGGAAUAGCCGCGGGAAACUGCGAGUAAUGCCCAAUAAUCCCUACGGGGCAAAGGUCCGCCGCAGGAGGAGCGGCCGAUGUGAUACCAGCUAGUUGGUGAGGUAAUGGCUCACCAAGGCUUAGACGUCUAGGGGGUGUGAGAGCAUGGCCCCCACCACUGGGACUGGGGAAUACUGCCCAGACACCUACGGGUGGCUGCAGUCGAGAAUCUUCGGCAAUGGGCGCAAGCCUGACCGAGCAACGCCGCGUGCGGGA